rnacentral:rRNA from 1 species
UAGGGAAUCUUCGGCAAUGGGGGGAACCCUGACCGAGCAACGCCGCGUGAGUGAAGAAGGUUUUCGGAUCGUAAAGCUCUGUUGUUAAGGAAGAACGUGUGUGAGAGUGGAAAGUUCACACAGUGACGGUACUUAACCAGAAAGGGACGGCUAACUACGUGCCAGCAGCCGCGGUAAUACGUAGGUCCCGAGCGUUGUCCGGAUUUAUUGGGCGUAAAGCGAGCGCAGGCGGUUAGAUAAGUCUGAAGUGAAAGGCAGUGGCUCAACCAUUGUAGGCUUUGGAAACUGUUUAACUUGAGUGCAGAAGGGGAGAGUGGAAUUCCAUGUGUAGCGGUGAAAUGCGUAGAUAUAUGGAGGAACACCGGUGGCGAAAGCGGCUCUCUGGUCUGUAACUGACGCUGAGGCUCGAAAGCGUGGGGAGCGAACAGGAUUAGAUACCCUGGUAGUCCACGCCGUAACGAUGAGUGCUAGGUGUUAGGUCCUUUCCGGGACUUAGUGCCGCAGCUAAACGCAUUAAGCACUCCGCCUGGGGAGUACGACCGCAAGGUU